CGUGAGAAUCUGCCUUGGGGUCGGGGACAACCACUGGAAACGGUGGCUAAUACCGGAUAAGCCUUUGGGUAAAAGAUUUAUUGCCCCAAGAGGAGCUCGCGUCUGAUUAGCUAGUUGGUGAGGUAAGAGCUCACCAAGGCAGCGAUCAGUAGCUGGUCUGAGAGGACGAUCAGCCACACUGGGACUGAGACACGGCCCAGACUCCUACGAGAGGCAGCAGUGGGGAAUUUUCCGCAAUGGGCGAAAGCCUGACGGAGCAAGACCGCGUGAGGGAGGAAGGCUCUUGGGUUGUAAACCUCUUUUCUCAGGGAAGAAGCUCUGACGGUACCUGAGGAAUCAGCCUCGGCUAACUCCGUGCCAGCAGCCGCGGUAACACGGAGGAGGCAAGCGUUAUCCGGAAUUAUUGGGCGUAAAGCGUCCGCAGGUGGCGAUUCAAGUCUGCUGUCAAAGCACGGGGCUUAACUCCGUUAAGGCAGUGGAAACUGAAUAGCUAGAGUGCCGUAGGGGUAGAGGGAAUUCCCGGUGUAGCGGUGAAAUGCGUAGAGAUCGGGAAGAACAUCGGUGGCGAAAGCGCUCUACUGGACGGCAACUGACACUCAGGGACGAAAGCUAGGGGAGCGAAUGGGAUUAGGUACCCCAGUAGUCCUAGCUGUAAACGAUGGAUACUAGGUGUAGCUUGUAUCGACCCGAGCUGUGCCGAAGCUAACGCGUUAAGUAUCCCGCCUGGGGAGUACGCACGCAAGUGUGAAACUCAAAGGAAUUGACGGGGGCCCGCACAAGCGGUGGAGUAUGUGGUUUAAUUCGAUGCAACGCGAAGAACCUUACCAGGGCUUGACAUGUCCGGAAUCCCGGUGAAAGCUGGGAGUGCCUUCGGGAGCCGGAACACAGGUGGUGCAUGGCUGUCGUCAGCUCGUGUCGUGAGAUGUUGGGUUAAGUCCCGCAAGGAGCGCAACCCUGAUCUUUAGUUGCCAGCAUUUAGUUGGGCACUCUAGAGAGACCACCGGUGACAAACCGGAGGAAGGUGGGG
rnacentral:rRNA from 1 species